UAAAUAGAAAAAAAAAAAAAUUAUCUACGUUAAAAUUGUAAUGUUAUUGAUCACUGCAAAACCUAUAACUUAAAAUGCAUAAUAUAAAUACGAUAUAUUUACUUUAUAUGAAAAAUAAAAUAUUUAUUUAGUUUCAUGUACUAUUAUAAAGUAUAUGAAAAGUUUAAUCAAAUUUUAAAAGAAUAUUAUAAGAUUUUUUCUGUAUUCUAACGGGUGUUGGUUUACGGGUUAA
rnacentral:lncRNA from 1 species